rnacentral:sRNA from 1 species
CUACGUGACGAAGCUCGCGCUAAAGUAGACAAUAAAGCCUGAAGCUAUGAGUGAAUCGCCAGACGCCGGCUAAGCCGGCGUUUUUUA